rnacentral:rRNA from 1 species
UCGCCUGUUUAUCAAAAACAUCUUUUCUUGUUAGUUUUUGAAGUAUGGCCUGCCCGCUGACAUUUGGUGUUGAAGGGCCGCGGUAUUUUGACCGUGCAAAGGUAGCAUAAUCGGUAGUUCUUUAAUUGUGAUCUGGAAUGAAUGGCUUGACGAGGCACGGGCUGUCUUAGUGUUGAAUGUUUUAUUGAAUUUGGUCUUUGAGUUAAAAUUCUUAGAUGUUUUUGUGGGACGAGAAGACCCUAUAGAGUUUGACAUUUGGUUUAUUUACUUGUUUGUUGUUUGUUUAUUUUUGGUGAGUGGGCUUUUUGUUUUGUUGGGGUGAUGGGAGGAAUGUACUUAACUCCUCUUAGUUUUGGUUAUAUUGAUUUAUAAUUAUUUGAUCCAUUUAUUUUGAUUGUAAGACUAAAUUACCUUAGGGAUAACAGCGUAA